UACGUAGGGGGCUAGCGUUGUCCGGAAUCAUUGGGCGUAAAGCGCGUGUAGGCGGUCCGGUAAGUCCGCUGUGAAAGUCGGGGGCUCAACCCUCGAAUGCCGGUGGAUACUGUCGGGCUAGAGUGCGGAAGAGGCGAGUGGAAUUCCUGGUGUAGCGGUGAAAUGCGCAGAUAUCAGGAGGAACACCUAUUGCGAAAGCAGCUCGCUGGGACGUAACUGACGCUGAGACGCGAAAGCGUGGGGAGCAAACAGG
rnacentral:rRNA from 1 species